rnacentral:rRNA from 1 species
CUCGUAGGCGGCCAACUAAGUCAGACGUGAAAUCCCUCGGCUUAACCGGGGAACUGCGUCUGAUACUGGAUGGCUAGAGGUUGGGAGAGGGAUGCGGAAUUCCAGGUGUAGCGGUGAAAUGCGUAGAUAUCUGGAGGAACACCGGUGGCGAAGGCGGCAUCCUGGACCAAUUCUGACGCUGAAUAGCGAAAGCCAGGGAGCAAACG